GAGAGCUGUACUGGUCCUGGGGAUUUUGAGAGCUCUCAUCCAGUCUCACCAGUAAAGCCGGACUGACCAAGACUGCACAAACGUCUGUCCAGAUUUCCAUCACACAUGAUGGACUCACAUGAAAAGUGAAUACAAUAAAUAAAGAAAAGGAAAAAAAAUACUUUGCAUUUUGUUUUGCUUUGCUUUAGGGUAAAAACCUGGCAGGCUUCCAUUAUCUGAGCACUAUUAUUCAUUAUUAAGCGAAGGCUUUGUUUGUAUCUAAGAGCCGGUCCAUGAAAACAGCUCACCCUGAGCAGCACAGAGCAACAUCUCCAGCUCCAGCACACAGUGCCUGGGGCUUAAUCCCAGCUUCAAGCCCCAUGGUGAGAGUUUACUACAUUACCAUGAGAUUUUAUUUUACUGUACCUAUUUAUUAGAAGAUGAGAACCCAGCUCUCAGUCUGGAUCACUAGGACAGGUGCAUUCUUACCCAGAUACAAACUCCAUACCUGAGGACUGUGUGGCACGUGUCUGAUGCAGACACAGUGACCUCCCAUCCCCUGAGCCCUGAAUUCAGACUCUGGUGGGUGAGGAAUGAAAAUGGGUUUGUGUCUGUGCUUGGUUGUACAGCACAGGAGAACCACUUUGGUCUCCCCAGGCGAUAUCACCAAUCAUCAACUUGGCCAAGGAGUGUGGCACAGAGGGGUACAGGUGCUGUGGCUGCAGAGGUUUGCAGUGGGAUUAGGCAGGGUGCCAGCAUGUCACCGGCACUGCGUGAGUGGGGCUGGAGAAACAGAGGACACCCGGUGCAUGGCUGGGUGGAUGGAUACUAGCACAUAUUUUUAUGCCAUCCCUUAUUUUCACAAGCUCAACAACAUGCACAAACAUAAUGAGGGAAAAUGAGCACUCUUGCCUUUGGGAGAAUGGGUUAGUGUGCUGCACCGUGCAACUCACAUUCCUUCUUCAUCCAUCUUUUUCCAUUUUCAUCCCUAAAGUCAGUACACACACACUGGUACUUGCUUAUCUACUUCCAAUUGCCACCUGGAGCGCCCCCUUAUAAAAUGACUUUUUUAGGAAAGACACAGUGCUGUGCAAUGUCCAGAAGGUGGCAAGCUUUCAAUGCAUAUUGCUCUGUGCUUCCACUCGUUUCUCCAAAGCAGAGGCAAGCCAGGAUUAUGGGAACCUUAUUUGUUCAUGGGCAGAAAGACUGUGUCCAAGUAUGUGUGUGUGAGACAGGGAGACUUGCCCGUGACUAAUCGGCAGUGUCAGUGACAAAGGAAACAAUGUCCUGCUACAGACAGUCACAGAUAACGGGCAACUCAGCCUGUUAUCCUCCAGGGCAAGGCACUGGGAGACAAUAGCCAGAGAGACUUGGGCUGCAGCAUUUUCCCAGGCUUUCUGAACACACUGAGUUUGCAACAGCAUCGUGCUCUAAGAGUGAAUCCUCCUGAGAAGGUGUCAGCUCUCCUUCACCUCUGAUGGGCCUUUUUGCUGCUCCCGUUGACUGCAGAGGAACUUCAGCAAUUCAAUUUAACAAAAUGGAAAAACUUACUAUUUGCAUUUUCAAAUAUUUAUUCAGCUUUGUGAUAUUAUCACAAUAAUGAGGAAGGUUUGAAAGGUUGAGAAAGAAAGGCAUCCGGGCUUUGUCUGAAAACAUCCAUCAACACAGAAGUUCUCAUGCAAAGUUCUUCAGCUUCAUAUCUGUUUGCUGCUUCUCUCUUUGCUGGAUAACUGAGCUGCUCAGCAUGGCCCAGGAUUUUUUUUUCCAGGAAGCCACUGUCAGGAGGAUAUAACUGAUGCAGCUCCACUGUAUAGUUAUGUAUGGUCAUCACAGCAUCAUGUUCAAGCUAACAACCUGAUCCAAAACUGUUCGCCCUGAGAAUAUGGUGCAGAGACUCAGAAAACUGAUCAGCAGCUGAUAAACUAAGGAAUCUCACAAGAAUCAUCCCAAAGGCAUCCAUCAUUUUGACAAAAAUCUGAUUGUACAGGCUUUGGGGAAAAUAUUUUUCCUUACAGAGAAUGUAAAAAGCAACAGGGACAGAAAAAAUGGCUAACUUGGCGUGUUUCUUCUCUGACUCCUGACACGCUGCAUGUAAUUGCCACAUCGGUAUAUUUCUGCAAACGUGACUGCUCACUCAGAACUCCGUCCUAAGCACUGGAAAACUCCUGCAGCCUGAGAAAUAUAGCUAAUAGGAUCCAUCUGCUUUGGAGACAUUUUUAAUUCCUAUGAUUUACUCGUUAAUUUUCUCUUCUCUAAUUACACACAAACGUUAGUGGGGGGAACUGGAAGAAGAGAAACAGGGAGAAAAAAAGAGCCAGCUGGUAGGGACCGACUGCACUUCGUGUUGCAGUCACUAGCCGGCGUGAUCCCCACAGUCAUUGCAACACAGCCUGGUCCCCGGCUCUUUCUCAGAGACAGAUUGUGAAAUGAGGAAUCUUUUUCAAGAAAAAUAGCAAAAGGGAGAAUCCUGAUAGAUGAGGGGGAAUUGUGCCCUAAAUCUAAAGGUAUUCUCAAUGGGCUAGGUGUUAUUACAACUAUUAGUAUUGUUAUAAGGCUCUGAAUGAAUGGACCAACCCUCAUCAAUUCAGACCCAUGUACCAAGACCUGGAUGGGGAAGAGGAUAUUUAAGCAACAAGAAAAAGCAAAGUUAUCCCGCAAAGAGGUGAGCCAGAGAGGCAGCACUAGCCCCUGUGUGCCCCGUGCCCCUGCAGAGACGUGCUCCCUCCUGUUGCCCCCUGCCAGGCCAGCAACCUGCCCCUCACGACUGCAGCUGCGCAGGGUGGCACAGCACAGCCCAGUGCCAUGGGGGAACAUUUAGACACUCCAAGUGUUUGAUGCGUUUUGGAGUGGGGAAUCAACUCACAUCUAGUCCCCAGGACCAUAAAUCUAAUUUAGACUGACACAAUUGCCCAUGCCUGCACUGGCAGCUCCCUGGCCGGGGCUGUAUGCAGAGGAUGGUCAGCAGCCCCGGGAGGCAUCUGGCACAGAGAAUCACAACAUUUUCAGGCAGUUGCUUCAAGGGUCCAGCAAAUUAGUUGUACAGCCUGUUUCAGACAGACCUAAGUUCUGCCUGUGCUCCACGAGGGACGCAAACUGACUCUGGAAAUAUCUGUUCACCUGCCCUGACCCACUGCUGUGCAGGUAUCAUGCAGUAUGUCACCAGCUCCACACAGCACCUGCUGCACCUCUCUGACUCCUUUCCUGCCUGAGCUUCUCAGAAAUGGCAAGCAAACCGCACACAGGCCAAAUCUGAACACGUGCAGCAACGUGAAUGCUGUGGUUUGACUUUCCACAAUGGUAGGGUUUUGCCUCACACUCACUUUCUGUUCCUUUGAGUGCUGCAUUUAGUUAUUUCUUGGUUUUACCUUUCCUGACUCCACUACUGAGGGACCUCCACAGCCCCCCGCAAGGCCCGGGGUCGCCCACAGCUGCUGCCCCUGAGGGGCUGCUUGAAGCCAGGAAUUUGAGAAAAGCUGAAUUACCUAAACCUGAACCUGCUGCUGCCGUUCCUGGAGUUAAGGCUAAUUCCUGAGGGCACCACUCAACUUCAUAAAACCUUUACAGGCACAGAACAAGAUGGAGAAGAAAAACAGUUACCAGAAGAAAUCAUUUCUCUGUUUUCUCAACUUAUAAAGGUGUUACCCAUGCAUUUCUAAAAGGUGCUGGGUAGCUCUGAUAACCUUCAUUUUGUCAAGAUGAAACAGUGAAAUAACCAAUGUAAGGGCCAGACACACCAAGAAGCUGCUGUGUCAGCUGGUUUGCACCCCAAAGGAAAGGUAGGUAACCCACAAAGGUUUCCUCAGAUUGCUCUCACAUUCCAGCAAGCACAGAGCCAGACGUCAUCCUGUAUCUUGCUUUCUUGAAAGGAAUGGAGACACCUCAUUUCCAUGGAGAUCAAACAGUUAGGUACUGAAAUACCUGACCUCACCUGUGAAGUCUGCAGCUGAACCUAGGUAUGAACCGACUCUUCCCCAGCACCAUUACCAGUGAAACAUCCUCCCUUUGCUAGCUCUGAAAGCAUUACAAUGGCAUCUGGAAAAGAAAGGCAACAAUCUGUGGAAGUCUGUGUGAUUUUAGGUUACUAAUAAAAAUAUGUGAUAAAUUCACUUCAAAUUAUUAGCCACAUUGUUUAUGUGAGAUAGCCAUUAAAAGAGAUAGA